GGCCCACCAAGGCAACGAUCGGUAGCCGGACUGAGAGGUUGAACGGCCACAUUGGGACUGAGACACGGCCCAGACUCCUACGGGAGGCAGCAGUGGGGAAUAUUGCACAAUGGGGGAAACCCUGAUGCAGCGACGCCGCGUGGAGGAAGAAGGUCUUCGGAUUGUAAACUCCUGUUGUUGAGGAAGAUAAUGACGGUACUCAACAAGGAAGUGACGGCUAACUACGUGCCAGCAGCCGCGGUAAAACGUAGGUCACAAGCGUUGUCCGGAAUUACUGGGUGUAAAGGGAGCGCAGGCGGGAAGACAAGUUGGAAGUGAAAUCUAUGGGCUCAACCCAUAAACUGCUUUCAAAACUGUUUUUCUUGAGUAGUGCAGAGGUAGGCGGAAUUCCCGGUGUAGCGGUGGAAUGCGUAGAUAUCGGGAGGAACACCAGUGGCGAAGGCGGCCUACUGGGCACCAACUGACGCUGAGGCUCGAAAGUGUGGGUAGCAAACAGGAUUAGAUACCCUGGUAGUCCACACCGUAAACGAUGAUUACUAGGUGUUGGAGGAUUGACCCCUUCAGUGCCGCAGUUAACACAAUAAGUAAUCCACCUGGGGAGUACGACCGCAAGGUUGAAACUCAAAGGAAUUGACGGGGGCCCGCACAAGCAGUGGAGUAUGUGGUUUAAUUCGACGCAACGCGAAGAACCUUACCAAGUCUUGACAUCC
rnacentral:rRNA from 1 species